rnacentral:rRNA from 1 species
UACGAAGGGGACUAGCGUUGUUCGGAAUUACUGGGCGUAAAGCGCACGUAGGCGGAUCGUUAAGUCGGGGGUGAAAUCCUGGAGCUCAACUCCAGAACUGCCUUCGAUACUGGCGAUCUUGAGUCCGGAAGAGGUGAGUGGAACUCCUAGUGUAGAGGUGGAAUUCGUAGAUAUUAGGAAGAACACCAGUGGCGAAGGCGGCUCACUGGUCCGGUACUGGCGCUGAGGUGCGAAAGCGUGGGGAGCAAACAGG